CUUAGUAAUAUCGAAAUAACAAACUGAAUACUGACUAGUACCUAUAAUUUAUUGUAUAAUAUGGACGAAAUAGAUGUAUCAUUUAGUAUGAAUGUUUAUGUUUUUGUAGAUGUCGAUCAUAUGAUUGAAACUGAAGGAUCUUAUGAAGAAUUGGUGGAUGUAAUUCCAAAUGAUGACAAUAUUCAAGAAUUAUAUUUCUAAUUAUAGACUGUUAUUGAUUGACAACAACUAUGCUGGUCGACGAAAUAAAUAAGUAUCAUAAUGAAAAAGUAAUACAGUAUAUAUGCCAAGCAAUAAACGAUUUACAUGCAGUGGGGCAUGUCUUAUUGGACAUAGAACUUAUACAUUUAUAUUUUAAAAAAAAUGGGAUUUUCAAUGUUAAUACAAUUACACAUUUAAAAAUAAUAGUGCACAAAUUCAAAAUUCGAUCAAUAAUAAAAAUAAAAUAAAAUGCACAUAUCCAUCAUUACACGACAAAAUGUAC